AUUGAACGCUGGCGGCAUGCCUUACACAUGCAAGUCGAACGGCAGCACGGGUGCUUGCACCUGGUGGCGAGUGGUGAACGGGUGAGUAAUACAUCGGAACGUACCUUAUCGUGGGGGAUAACGCAGCGAAAGCUGUGCUAAUACCGCAUACGCCCUGAGGGGGAAAGCGGGGGAUCGAAAGACCACGCGCGAUUAGAGCGGGCGACGCCUGAUUAGCUUGUUGGUGGGGUAAAAGCCCACCAAGGCGACGAUCAGUAGCUGGUCUGAGAGGACGAUCAGCCACACUGGGACUGGGACACGGCCCAGACUCCUACGGGAGGCAGCAGUGGGGAACUUUGGACAAUGGGGGCAACCCUGAUCCAGCAAUGCCGCGUGAGUGAAGAAGGCCUUCGGGUUGUAAAGCUCUUUUGUCAGGGAAGAAACACCGGCUCUAACACAGUCCGGGAAUGACGGUACCUGAAGAAUAAGCACCGGCUAACUACGUGCCAGCAGCCGCCGUAA
rnacentral:rRNA from 1 species